rnacentral:rRNA from 1 species
UACGUAGGGUGCAAGCGUUGUCCGGAUUUAUUGGGCGUAAAGAGCGUGUAGGCGGCCAUACAGGUCCGUUGUGAAAACUCGAGGCUUAACCUCGAGACGUCGAUGGAAACCGUAUGGCUAGAGUCCGGAAGAGGAGACUGGAAUUCAUGGUGUAGCAGUGAAAUGCGCAGAUAUCAGGAAGAACACCUAUGGCGAAGGCAGCUCUCUGGGACGGUACUGACGCUGAGACGCGAAAGCGUGGGGAGCGAACAGG